GGUUGAUCCUGCCAGUAGUCAUAUGCUUGUCUCAAAGAUUAAGCCAUGCAUGUCUAAGUAUAAACAACUCGUACUUGUGAAACUGCGAAUGGCUCAUUAAAUCAGUUAUAGUUUAUUUGAUGGUAUUUUUUUCUUACUUGGAUAACCGUUUGAAAAUAGAGCUAAUACAUGCCUAGAAACCUGACCGCUUGCGGAAGGGUUGUAUUUAUUAGAUAAAAAACCGACAUUACUUCGGUGAAUCAUAAUAACUUUGCGAAUCGCAUGAGCUUGACUCGGCGAUGCUUCAUUCAAAU
rnacentral:rRNA from 1 species